AGAUGAAAUGGCUUUUACUGGGACUAAAAACCUACAGCCCUAAUGGAAGCUCUUACAGCUCUGUGCAAUUUGAUACAGUGUCACACUUGGUGCGUGCCAGUUUUGUGCCUGAAGUAUAAGAGCCGGGGAACCGUACCAGCUCAGACCUCCAAGGAAGAAGCUUUUGCAGGAAUCCAUGACCACACAGAAAGAAAAUGGACACAGCAACCUUGUCUCCCAAAGGAAUCUGGAGAGAGUCACCUUAUCAUAGCUUGGCUGGAGUGCCUGAAGAAACACUAUGACAAGGAAAUAGUUUGGAAAUGGAAGUGUAGCGCGUUUCUCUUUGAUCCAAAUACUUUGAUCUUUAAGGUAUGUGAGAUUUCUCACCUUCUGAAAAUCCUGCUUGAACUUCUGCUUCAUUCCACUGGUUUCCCAAGUUGGUGCUGUACUUUCCUGAUUUGCUGCAGAAGGAUUGCCAUCUCAGCUCAUCUGCACUGUUUAAACGUGCCUGCAAUUUACUUCUUCUGACGUAUCCUUAAUGCAAGUCCUGGUGUGCCACUGUCACCUUGAAUUAUGCUUAUUUUGAAAGUUCGUGGACAUCCCUGUUGUGCCCUCCUAGGGAAAAGCACUUUGGGACUGACUGCUGAGAAUCUGCAUUGGAGUGUUUACUUUGCUACAAGUCCAGCAGCUCUGUGGGCUGAAACUUGAGGGGAGGCUACCAAGUCUCCUUUAGAAACAAAUGGGACUUGAGCCAUGCGACUUCCUAGGCAACAUAGUAGAGCCUGCAGAGCUCAGGGCUGUUAUGUUAAUUCAGGCAAGUAUCCAUUUAUGGGACAAUGUAAUGAUGAGGGUUUGUGCCAGCACGGUUUGUUUUGGAUGGAUUAUUGUCCAUGGUGCCACUGGGUUCUGACAACACUCGUAACAGUGCAGUUGGCCUGCAAAUAUCAGCUGAAAGUUUAUGCCAUACCAAUUUCAGAGGGAUUGAAAAAGCCAUAAAGAAGUGUGAAACUCAACAUCCUGACAUAUGGGCUGUGGCCUAUGAGAACCACAAGUCUCCAAACUGCACCAAUGCUUUGGCUCUUCCUCACUGCCAGAAUGAGCCUUUGGCGUCUUAGUGUGGCUCAGAUGAAAUCAGCCUUAGACUGCUCUCAUUUACACCUUGGUCAUAAUUCACUUGUCCAUCCCAGAAAUAGGUUAUUCCCCCACCUUUCCCAUUCUGUCUCAAUCUGUCAUGAGCGUCUUUAAAGCCAUGCCGGCCAAACACAGUUUUGCUAACAGCACCCUUACGGGAAGGUUAUUGGAGCUGCUGAGUCUUCCAAACCACUUCUUCUUUGCAAUGAUCAAUGCAGUUUUGUUUUGUUUUGUUUUGUUUUUAUCAAAACCUGGGAAGCCAGCAUAAAUGAAAGAUCCCAGUAACUUACAGUGUUGCAGAAGUCACACGCAAUGCAUUUUUAAGGCAAAUUGAAAACAUUUCUAGAGAUGGAACCAGUACCUGAAUCUCCUCUCCACUCACCUCUAUUUAGAGAUACACUGGUCUGUUGGAUUUAAAAUGUGUCGCCAACAUACUUGGGAAGAAUCUCAUCUGGGCUUCCAUGCUGAUGGGAAUUUCUCUGAGUCAGUGGGAAAUUUGCCUUGACUUCAUGGCAACUGGAUCAGGCUUUCUACUACUAAAUAAAGAAACCCAUUUUCUAGGCUUUUAGCA
rnacentral:lncRNA from 1 species